rnacentral:rRNA from 1 species
GAUGAACGCUGGCGGCGUGCCUAAUACAUGCAAGUCGAGCGAACAGAUAAGGAGCUUGCUCCUUUGACGUUAGCGGCGGGCGGGUGAGUAACACGUGGGUAACCUACCUAUAAGACUGGGAUAACUUCGGGAAACCGGAGCUAAUACCGGAUAACAUUUGGAACCGCAUGGUUCUAAAGUGAAAGAUGGUUUUGCUAUCACUUAUAGAUGGACCCGCGCCGUAUUAGCUAGUUGGUAAGGUAACGGCUUACCAAGGCAACGAUACGUAGCCGACCUGAGAGGGUGAUCGGCCACACUGGAACUGAGACACGGUCCAGACUCCUACGGGAGGCAGCAGUAGGGAAUCUUCCGCAAUGGGCGAAAGCCUGACGGAGCAACGCCGCGUGAGUGAUGAAGGGUUUCGGCUCGUAAAACUCUGUUAUUAGGGAAGAACAAACGUGUAAGUAACUGUGCACGUCUUGACGGUACCUAAUCAGAAAGCCACGGCUAACUACGUG